rnacentral:SRP_RNA from 1 species
GCCUGGCGCGGUGGCGCGCGCCUACAGUACUAGCUACUAGGGAGGCUGAGGCAAGAGGAUCGCUUGAGUCCAGGAGUUCUGGGCUGCAGUGCGCUAUGCUGAUUGGGUGCCACACUAAGUUCGGCAUCAAUAUGGUGACCUUCCGGGAGCGGGGGACCACCAGGUUGCCUAAGGAGGGGUGAACCAGCCCAGGUUGGAAACGGAGCAGGUCAAAACUCCCAUGCUGAUCAAAAACAAAAUAGAGCACUUGUUUUGCAAGGGGUAAGCCCUGAGUUCAAACCCCA